UUUAUUUGAACAGACAAAACGCAAUUCAGUUGUCGUUAUGUGCUGCUAUAGUUCGGUCAUAUUCACGUAAGAUCCAGAAACAAUUUUGCAGAAAUUUUAAAAUUGAGAUCAACGAAAUCAUACAGCAGAAUUGCUCAAAAAUGACCGACCCAAGUAGCCAUCGUCUAUGUCAUCAUACACACAUUUGUCUGGGAAUUUUUGGAAGCACAAUAAAAAAGCAAGACAUUUUGGAGUAGACGGACGAAAAAACAUAACGGACAACUCAAUUAUACAGAAUAUAUUGCAUACAAAGAUUAAAAUGUGAGCCAGAUUUUAAAUAUUUGCCUAUUAACGCAUUAUAUUCUGUAUAAUUAUUUUUCGAUGCAUUCAUUUUUCUUGAAUGACCGAAAUAUUCAAAAAAAAUUGUAAGAGGAACAACAAAGCACAAGGGAAAAGAAGCAUAAAGGCAUAAACAAAACACUCGCAAUGAAAGCAAGCGUCGACAAACGUCGGCGCCGCUCUUUGCACAGUGGUUUUCGAUUAACAUUUUUUUGCCUCACGUAUUCCAUAGCAUACAAUCAAUUUAUCACGAGAAGCAUUUAUUCUCGGGAUAAAUCGAUUGUAUACCAUGCAAUGCGAUUAGCGAAAAAAUCGUCAACUGAAUCUACACAAAAUAUGUGAACUGUGACGAAACGGAAAUGAAUUCAAUUGGGAAUCCAUUUUGAACGCUUCUCUAUCAGUUGACACAUUAUGUUUUGAUUUUUUAUUCGAAAAUUAUUGGGCGCCAUUAAUAUGGCUCACAAUUUCAGCUCAAGCACUAAACUGAAAUUGUGGGCCAAAUUAAUGAACUGAUGCCCUUCCAAAAAAAGUGGCGUGACCAAUAUUUGGCCACUAAUGAUGAACUAAUGAACCUAAAGGCACUUAUAAGGCUUAAAAUUUUUAAGGCACUUAUUAAGGCACUUGUUGAGGCACUCGUUCAGUUGAAUUCCAAUAUUUCCAGCGUGCAUAUAACAAUAUUCCGCAUACGUUGCGCCAGUGAAUUAUAUGCAGCGCACAAAGCAAAUAAAUCACAAAUCGAACGCUACUGUUCGUAUCGAAUAAA